GACGAACGCUGGCGGCGUGCUUAACACAUGCAAGUCGAACGGUGAACUCCGCUUGCGGGGGGAUCAGUGGCGAACGGGUGAGUAACACGUGGGCAACCUGCCCUCAGCUCUGGGAUAACUCCAAGAAAUUGGGGCUAAUACCGGAUAUGACCGCUGACCGCAUGGUCUGGUGGUGGAAAGAUUUAUCGGCUGGGGAUGGGCCCGCGGCCUAUCAGCUUGUUGGUGGGGUAGUGGCCUACCAAGGCGACGACGGGUAGCCGGCCUGAGAGGGUGACCGGCCACACUGGGACUGAGACACGGCCCAGACUCCUACGGGAGGCAGCAGUGGGGAAUAUUGCGCAAUGGGCGAAAGCCUGACGCAGCGACGCCGCGUGGGGGAUGACGGCCUUCGGGUUGUAAACCUCUUUCAGCAGGGACGAGGCGAAAGUGACGGUACCUGCAGAAGAAGCACCGGCCAACUACGUG
rnacentral:rRNA from 1 species